rnacentral:rRNA from 1 species
UACGUAGGGUGCAGGCGUUAAUCGGAAUUACUGGGCGUAAAGCGUGCGCAGGCGGUUUGCUAAGACAGGUGUGAAAUCCCCGGGCUUAACCUGGGAACUGCGCUUGUUACUGGCAAGCUAGAGUGUGGCAGAGGGGGGUGGAAUUCCAGGUGUAGCAGUGAAAUGCGUAGAGAUCUGGAGGAACACCGAUGGCGAAGGCAGCCCCCUGGGCUAACACUGACGCUCACGCACGAAAGCGUGGGGAGCAAACAGG